GGGGGCGGCGGGGGCGGCGGGGGCGGCUGUGGAGGAAGUCGGCUCAGCCAGGCAGUUUGAGGAGCUGCUGUGCCUCAAAGCCAAGUCCCUCCUUGUGCUCCAUGUCUGGGCACCAGAUGAACGAAGUUAUGGCAGAGUUGGCUAAAAAACGUCCUCAAGUUUCAUUUGCGAAGUUGGAAGCUGAAGGUGUUCCUGAAGUAUCUGAAAAAUAUGAAAUUAGCUCUGUUCCCACUUUUCUGUUUUUCAAGAAUUCUCAGAAAAUCGACUGAUUAGUUGGCGCGCAUGCCCCAGAGUUGACCAAAAAAGUUCAGCGGCUUGCCUCUAAUGGCUCCUUCCCACCCAGCGCUAAUGAACAUCUUAAAGAACAUCUCAACCUUCGCCUAAAGAAAUUGACUCAUGCUGCCCCUUGCAUGUUGUUUAUAAAAGGAACUCCUCAAGAACCACACUUUGGUUUCAGCAAGCAGAUGGUGGAAAUUCUUCACAAACGUAAUAUUCAGUUUAGCAGUUUUGAUAUCUUCUCAGAUGAUGAGGUUCGACAGGGGCUCAAAGCCAUUUCCAAUUGACCUACCUAUCCUAAGCUCUACGUUUCUGGAACGCUCAUAGGAGGACUUCAUAUAAUUCAGGAGCUAGAAGCAUCUGAAGAAUUAGAUACAAUUUGUCCCAAAACUCCCAAGUUAAAGGAAAGCCUCAAAGGGCUGCACAUAAAGCUUCUGUGAUGCUCUUUAUGAAAGAAAACAAACAAGAAGCAAAAUGUGGAUUCGGCAAACAAAUUCUGGAAAUACUAAGUAGUACUGAUGUUGAAUAUGAAACAUAUGAUAUAUUGGAGGAUGAAGAAGUGCGGCAAGGAUUAAAAGCUUACUCAAAUCGACCGAUGUAUCCUCAGCUGUAUAUGAAAGGGGAGCUGGUGGGAGGAUUGGAUAUUGUGAAGGAACUGGAAGAAAAUGGUGAAUUGCUGCCUAUACUGAGAGGAGAAAAUUAAUAAAUCUUAAACUUGGUGCCCAACUAUUGCAAGAAAUAUUUAAUUACAUUGGGAGCAGUUCACGAUUUAGUCCUCAGAAAUCGACUAGGAAUAGAAAAAUCCUGCUUACUUAGUUACAUGUUUUGUGUAUUUCACAAUGUCAGGCUAAACAAAUGUAUGUUACAUUUUUGUCCCACCAAAAAUAGAAUGCAAUAAACAUCUUCCAUCUUAUUAA